rnacentral:lncRNA from 1 species
UGGGUUUGUGAUGUAGAGGUUAGGGAAGUUCAUGUGAUAAUGUGAAUUCAACACUUCUUCCCCAGUGAUACAAGUGGAUUCACUAUAACUUCUGUGACAUUUCCUUUCCCAAGAAGGGGCAAACACGACUAGAAGAAUGGAAGCCCCGCGGUGUGGGAUCAGUCUGGUCUGAAAACUGAGCUGGAUCAGUAACUCAGACCCAAGGCAUUCGCUUUAACCUGGCACUUUCCCCUUCACCUCUGUAACUCCCAAGGCCGAGCGACAGUGAUGAAGUCAGCUCGGUUCAAAGUCUAGGGCACCCGAGAUCCCGCAAGGAGUGAACCGAGCAGCCCCAGAGCCCCAGAGCGCGGGGCUGGGCAGCUAGGGCGGUUCACGCCGGCUCCCACGUUUCCACCCGAAGCGGGCGCAGGGCGUCGGCCCGGGACAGCGAAGGAGGGCGAGGUAAAAUAAGGACAUUCAUACAAAGAGAAGAAAGAAGAAAAAGGAGGAGGGAGAAGAAGAGGAGGAGGAGGGGCAAGAAGAAGGAAGAGAAGAAGAGCAAGAGAUCAUCCCAGAGUGAGUAGGGUAAAUAGACAUGUAUCUUAGUCUAUCCAUGCUGUUAUAACAAAAUACUAUAAACAGGAUAACAUAAGUAACAAAAAUUUACUUCUCACUGUCCUGUAGACUGAGAAAAUCCAAGAUCAAGAUGCCAGAUAAUUGUCUGCAGAGGACCUUCUAGCUUGUCUUUGGAUGGUAGAAGGG